UCCCUCUCUUCUCUCCCUUCUUUCCCGUGCCUGUGGGCACGAUUGCCGGCGACGGGGUCGCCGGAUUUUGUUGGAAAAGAAAACCCCUGUUUUCCUCUCCUCUUUUCUCCGAUUUUUCGGCACCGACGGUCAUCCCCGACCGUCGGUGCAGGCCCUCCGAACUCGGGGGAAGGCCUUCCUUGUCGUUGGCCACCGUCGGG
rnacentral:lncRNA from 1 species